rnacentral:lncRNA from 1 species
GCGAAAGGUGCCCGCCGAGUCCCACGGUCACAGGCUUCACCCGCCUGUGAUUUUUUAAAGGGUCCCCGCUUCGCCGUAGCAGAACAGACCCGAUUUCCGUAGAGCCAGUCCCUCCGGAUCAGAGGGAGUCCGCCAUUACCGAUGGCGCCACCCCGGAAGUCGGGGAAAGUGUAUUUAAAUAUCUUUUUAAAUUCGUUAUAAAUCAGUUCCCAAAACUGUUUCAUUUUCUCACACGUCCACCACAUGUGGUAAAAAUCUCCAUCUUUAUCUUUGCAUUUCCAACAUGUCUUACUACUAAUCCUGUACAUUCUUGCCGCUUCACUUCUUCGCAUAGCUGUCAACUUACAGAUUUGAAAAUAAGGGACCAGCAGCCUCGGAAAUAAGGGACCAGCAGCCAAAAUAAGGGAUUUUCAGAGCACAGGCAUGUUCAACUUCUGAGCCCCUCCGAACCAAAGGCAGAAAGCCCAGCCAGCAGCCAAACAAAGCCUCAAGUGGUGGUUCCCACAGCGUAGCAACCCGGCAAAGGGGUUGCAGCAAGGAAAACCACCGUCACCUCUCCGCUGGGAAGCGCUGAGCAAAGGCAAGUCCCCAGGCAACGCGUCUGAUUUGAUCGGCACAAGGCAUGCAAGCUCCACCCCCCAGUCAUUCUUAGACUCUUUAUGGGGGGAGCAACGCAGCCAAGCAACACAGUUGGAGCCAGCCAGAACACAGCGGGACACGGCGCUGGGAUAAGGGAGUUUCCCGCCAAAUAAGGGACGGUUGACAGCUAUGCUUCUUUGUUGCUCCUCCUGCAGUGAGCCAGCAUUGAAGAUGCUUUCAUUUUAAAAAAACCCCAAGUUUAAGGUUUGCCAGAGGUUGGGAGUGAACACACACACACACCAGCUUAACAGGGACAAAGCGAAACAUCCAGCCCCCAGGGUAUCAGUGCCUCGUAAUCUGAGACGUCCAGAUAAAGCAGGACAGUAUUGGUGUUAAAUAAGUAAUGAUCAGACGAAAGGCGUCCUGGAAAAAGGAGAUUGAUCUGUGUGCGCAGCUGGUCUUCUGGAGAGCCACCAAGGUCACCUUGCAUGACCCUGAAAGGCUGAUGCAAUGUAAGAACCUAAGAAUGCAAGAGUCUUGCCGGAUCCAUAUAGGUCCAUAUGAGGUCCAUAUAGUUCAGCAUCCUGGUCUUAUCUCAGGGACCAACCACAUGCUCCAAUGGGAUGCCCAUUUGAGAUUCCCAGCAAGUGGUAUUCGGAAGCAUAUUGCCUCAUACAGCGGAGGUCCAACACUGUAGUCCUACAACAGCCAUGCAAGGUGGGCCAGGGCCCCUGGUCUGGAUAGAAACAGAGGCUUAAAGCCCCCAGCCCUUCACACUAGGUUCUGUGAUAAGAAUUUUAAGGUCUUAAGGUAAAGGGACCCCUGACCAUUAGGUCCAGUAGUGACCGACUCUGGGGUUGUGGCACUCAUCUCGCUUUAUUGGCCGAGGGAGCCGGCGUACAGCUUCCGGGUCAUGUGGCCAGCAUGACUAAGCCGCUUCUGGCGAACCAGAGCAGCGCAUGGAAACGCCGUUUACCUUCCCGCUGGAGCGGUACCUAUUUAUCUACGUGCACUUUGACGUGCUUUCAAAUUGCUAGGUUGGCAGAGCUGGGACCGAGCAACGGGAGCUCACCCCGUCACGGGGAUUCGAACUGCCGACCUUGUGAUCGGCAAGUCCUAGGCUCUGUGGUUUAACCCACAGUGCCACCUGCGUCCCUUAGAUAUGUAAUAAAUGUUCAUAAAUGUACCAAGCAAACACAUACAUAAAUAUAUAAACCACAUGUCUGAAAACCCCACGGAAAAAAGUCCUGAACAAAUUGACCUCAAUUAUUUCUCUGCAAAGUCAAAGUGGGAAACCUCCCCAUUGUCUUUUUCCUUCACAAAUCGUGUCUUAAGGGCACAUUUAAGAUAUGAAUAGGGUGUGAGCCUGUGACCUGGCUCAGGAACUAAGUAUUUAUCAUUACAAAAGACUGGCCAGGCUCCCCAGGCAAUCCAAUCAAGUGACCAUUAAACAGGUAACCUGGCAGACAGGAGGUAAACAAACCACUCAGAUUUCUGCUGUAGACCGCCCCUUCUGUAAUGUAUGUAUGAUGUAUGGUGGGGUGGUCUUGAGCUCCAGGGCAGGGACUUUAAAAUGUCUAUAUAAGGCCUUGCGCGCCAUUGUUCUGGGUUCCUCCUCCCUCCUGUGUGUGGUGAGGACCCUGUUGCAACAGAUCAAUAAAGAUCAGGCUUACUAGCUGCUUUGCUUCUCAAUAUUCUCUGGUUUGCCUCCGUUAUCUUCUUCUACCAAUAGGGAACCUACGUAAGGACUCUAUAAAUGUAUCAUCCAAUUUAGUCCCCAGUAAGCACACAGGUCUGCAUUGUGCAAUUAAGGGUUUACACAAAAGGAAGUCCUGCUAGUCCAUUGGGGCUUCUUCUCAGGAAAGCAGGUUUAGGAGUUCAGUCACCAUCUGCUCGUGAGACACACUUUUCUUUAGGGUUUCACUCGUUCCAGAACUAAACACAUUUAAGCAAUUUUAUGAUAACGUGGCUCGUAUUGAUAAACAGCAAAACGAUGGCAUCUGAUUAAAUGUAAUUUAAUUUACAGAUGAAAGCUGCACCCAUCUGAAAAUCAGUGGAACCUCUUUACAGAUAUGAAAAGAGCGAAAGGAAUGAAGAGUAAUUACGCCAAGCCCUGUGCAGGAUAAAAUUCCGUCAUCUGUCACCCCUGCUUUGUGACCAUCAUUUUUGUGUUUAUACAAAAGCGGGAUUUAUGAGGGUCCGGACCCACUACUUGUGUUUCUGGGGGAGAUGGGCAUCCAUUGCUUCAGGGGUGGGGUGCCCCUCCAGCACCCAGAGACGCGCAAACAGCUCCAUCGCCACAACCUUCCUGCCCAGAUGAUCCAGAUUUCUCUGCAAUGCCUGUGGUCACCAUGGCAACAGAAGACUUGAUAAUGCAUUCAGGGAUGCCUUUGCUUCCUUCUCUAGCAGCAGGCUUUAAGGGGAAGGCCAGCCUCCCGACAUACUGUGAAAAUUCCUUUAUUUGAGCUUUUGAGUCAGACUCCAGCCUCAGAACAUAUUUCAGAUAUCUAAGUUCGUUCCAUGCACAUCUUCUGUAUAUUGGGGCAGCCCCUCCCCACCCUGUACAUCAAGCCUCCCCGUUUUUGUCUUUGAAGGACGUCUUAUUAAAAUGCUGAUAUUUGUUUUA